AUGUAACUUUGUAGAUAUUUCCUAUUGAGAAUCCUUUACUGUUUAUUCACUGUGCACUAAACACUCUAAUUACUGUGGACUUCAACAGUGAUUCAGCCUUUAUCUCUUUCACACGGGUUCUUGCCUCAUUUUGUCUUUGUCACGUUCUAAUUUGUUCUGGCUUUGUCUCGCUGCGUGGCGCGCCUCAGGGGUUUGUUGUGUCAUGAUCAGAGAUCGGUUGGCUCUGUCUUUCUCUCACUGUGUGGCGCGCCUCAGGGGUUUUUGUUCCAUAAUCAAAGGCUUGAUUUGGGUUGUUUGCGCGCAUGGGUUGUUUGUUGAGCUGUUUGUUUAUGGUGUUUCCAGCGGCUGGGUCGCUUGAACUUCUACGCAAGUCAAUGAUGGGUUUUGGUGCCAGUGAUGUUUGUGGCUUGGUCAUGUCUGAUUUUCAAAGAAGUGGACCCAUAAGCAUGAUUGUGCAUUGAACAUUAUGUUCACCUGGCAGGGUUUUGUCUAUAGGACAGCAUUGGAGAAGCUGCUGGUUUCCGGGUUGGAUUAGACCUUUGUUUCAUCUGGACGAAAAUUUUUGGGGCUUUAACUUAAGUGUUUCGCUUUUUUUAUUAUGCUUUUUUGGCUUUUUUACUGUGACGAGAUCUAUCUUUCACGCUGUUCUAGUUUCGUCCCGUCCUGUUUAAUUGUUUUUUUAUUUGGCUGCCAUGCUUUUUCCUUGGGAUUCCUGCUCCUUCACAUCAUUUUUUUUUCUUAGGGAGUUUCUUGCUUCUCUUCUUUGUUUUUUAGGGUGGUUUUCUUCUCUGAGGUCUGGUGGUUUGGUGUUUGAUUUUUUUUCCCUUUUAUGAUAGUCAUUGUUCUUGAUGAGCUUUUUUUUUUUUUUCAUCAUAACCUCCACUAUUUCGGUUUUUUUGGUUCUGUUGUUGUGUCCUUUCUUGAUGUUUUUUAGCGUCGUUUCACUGUUUCGAGUUUCUUUCAUUGAACGUGCAGGCUGAAGUUCUGUGCGUCGUUCCACGAAGGAGCUGGUUAGCUAUCUGUUGGCUGGAACUGAAGCUUUUCUCUUUUGGUGCUCUGUCACAGUUCUUGCUUGGUGCUCCUCAUUGUCCCUGUUUUUCCUCUAAUUGUAGUUUCAUUUUAAUCUUUUGAUUUUUUCUUUCAACUGUUUUUUGCCGGCUGCUCCUUAAGAGAAGUCAUUUUAUUUCACCAUUAAUGCACCAGAUAAUCUAUCAACCUGAGAAUUCAGACUUUUAACUAAAAUUCAUUUCAAGAUCUGAGCUUUAUGCAGGUUUGGAUUCUAGAAUCAACUUCUCCUCUCACAAGACAAUUAGUUAACAGGAAACAAUUAGGUAACCGAGGCCUCAUAACUGACACAAUUAAAAGUUCUAGAAUUAAUGGUCGUUCCUGUGAAAAACAUUAAGAAAUAUGUUAUUUACCAAUUGAUCCGAGCAAGAGUGUGUCGCGUUUGGAUUCCUAAACAAAAUGGCAUAAACAGCAGCUUUAAUUGCCUCUUUGUAGAUCAACAAGUUCGUUGCUUUUUCAUAAGUUAAACUGUUAAACUAUUCAUAAUAUUUUUAUUUUGCCUUGCAAAUUUUAUAAGCUUUAAUUAUUUUUUGUUAAUUUUAGACACUAUGUUUUGCUUAUUAUAAUUUGCUGUAAAAUUAAAUGCUGCGACUUUAAUUUGCUUAGGCCCUACAUUUUAAACAAGCACUGAUAACACAUUUCCUUUAUAAUUUUUCACUUAUUGAUGAGUGUUCCAACUUGACUCUUAGUUUUAGUAUGAAAUUUAGUUUAUAAUUCUAUAUCAUACAAGCAAUAUUCCACUGUAUUAUUUGAGAAAAAAAUGUAUUACUUUUAUUUCUAAAUCUGUUAUAUUAUCUAAUUCCAUAGUUAAUAAAUAUAUUAUGUGACCUCAUGCAAUCAAUUCAUUGCAUUGUCGUCUCUUGCAUUACUACUUUUUGACAUCUCAUCGUCUUGCUCAAUUCAUUCCAACAUAGAAAUAAAAUAAUUACAGGGUGAUGCAAUACAAGGGUCAACAAAAACUAGAUAUGAAGGUGAAUUUUAUGAAAUAGAAGGCUUUUGAAAUACAUUUCAUGCUUUUCACAUACCUUUGUAUUUUGAAUUAUAAUUUUGCGACUCCUCAAAAUAAUGCCUUUUUAAAUCUGUUGCCUUUCCUAAAAUUUAAUUCAAGACAUAUAUGACUCAUUUAAACAUUUAAUCGCAUUCUUCAAUUUAGACCUUUUAAUUUAGCUGCAUGCUUAUAACCAUUGGUACAGAACUUUCUAUGACCUAUCUUGUCUUUUGCUCCCUUCAGCAUAGAGACUUCUCACUCUAACAUCUUUGACAUUUCAUUUAAAUUGGAUCCUGCACAUGUGAUAAGUCAUUAAAUUAACAAUCUUAUCCUGUUGACAGCAAUAUGGUGCAAGCAGGAUCACUCACCACCGAGAUCAUUCAAUCACAAACUCAUGCUUCCAUUGAAAGCAACACUCCAGCUGAGCCACCUGCAAAAAAAUACUCGCCUGGCAGUUUCAUCUACUUCAAAGAAAAACUAUAAUUAAAAACCCGCUGCAUAGCACGGGUUAAAGGGCUAGUGGUGCCACUAUGCCAUGAAGAAAUAAAAUUAGCUCCAGCUCCAGCACCAGCACCAACAGUUGGUGUACAUAUCGGAUUGAUGUUGUUGUUGAAAAAGUUGAUGGGCAGCAUAUAAAACGGAGGAAUGACUAAACACAAUCCAUUUGCUCAUCUUACAGAUCCCAUUCCAUUUGGCAAAAAAAUUGUAUCAGCUUGUUUUUCUUAUGCUCCUAAAGGAUGUAAAUGGGUGGCGCGCAUAGCCUAGCCAAGAAUGCCCUUGUUUCAGUCUCUCUUUUGGGGAGCUUCUGAUGUAGUCUUAGUAUUAUAGCUUAGUCAUGUAUAACGAGCUACUCCUUUACUUCAUUGUUGAGUAGAGGUAUAGAAUUCAUGGCAUGAAAAUGUUAAUAGAACAAGAUAAAAAAGCGCAGCUCAAAUAAAGAAAGAAAGAUAAGCUGAAGCAACAGUCAACAGAGAUGGCCAACAUGCACGACUGAUCUGCAGCAAAAUACAGCAGAAACCGGGUGAUUAAAACAAAGAGAUGAAACAAAAACCCAAACUAAACCAGAUUUGGGUACUGCAAAUCACCAACCCGAAGACGAAGACAGCUAAAAACAACUCGAGCAAGAAUCAUCAGCAAAUCUGCAUCUAAGCUUGCAGAAGACAUGAUGCUGAAAAGAACAAAUGCAAUCUGCACAGAGAACCUUUAAGGCAUCCAACCAUCACAGAACACAGGACCUUCAAUGCACCGAAAAACAUAGCACUGAGAGGAAAAAUGAGCUGCAGCAGCAGACCAGACCAUAUGGCACAUGAGACACUGAGAUUAAA